CUGGGGAGWCGGUCGCAAGAUUAAAMCUCGAAGGAAUURACGGGGACCCRCACAAGCGGUGGAUGAUGUGGAAUAAUUCGAURCAACGMNAAAARCCUUACCUGCCCUUGACAUGUCUGGAAUUCCGAAGAGAUUUGGAAGUGCUAGCAAGAAAACWGGAACACAGGUGMUGCAUGGCUGUAGUCAGCUGGUGUCGUGAGAUGWUGGGUUAAGUCCCGCAACGAGCGCAACCCUUGUCAUUAGUUCCUAMGAAAGGGCACUCUAAUGAGACUGCCGGWGACAAACCGAAGGAAGGUGGGGAUGACGUCAAGUCCUCAUGGCCCUUAUGGGUAGGGCUUCACACGUCAUACAAUGSUCGGGACAGAGGGUCGCCAACCCGCGAGGGGGAGCCAAUCCCAGAAACCCGAUCGUAGUCCGGAUCGCAGUCUGCAACUCGACUGCGUGAAGUCGGAAUCGCUAGUAAUCRCGGAUCAGCAUGUCGCGGUGAAUACGUUCCCGGGUCUUGUACACACCGCCCGUCACACCAUGGGAGUGGGUUUUACCAGAAGUAGUUAGCCUAACCGUAAGGGGGGCGAUUACCACGGUAGGAUUCAUGACUGGGGUGAAG
rnacentral:rRNA from 1 species